UACGUAGGGGGCGAGCGUUGUCCGGAUUUAUUGGGCGUAAAGAGCUCGUAGGCGGUUUGGUAAGUUGGAUGUGAAAUCUCCAGGCUCAACUUGGAGGGGUCAUUCGAUACUGCCAUGACUAGAGUUCGGUAGGGGAGUGUGGAAUUCCUGGUGGAGCGGUGAAAUGCGCAGAUAUCAGGAAGAACACCAAUGGCGAAAGCAGCUUUCUGGGACGGUACUGACGCUGAGACGCGAAAGCGUGGGGAGCGAACAGG
rnacentral:rRNA from 1 species